AGUAUCCUUAAUCAGCUUUUCAGUUCACUUUUAUUGGUUACAGGCACAGUCAGUUAUUUCAUCCAGAAAAUCUGAGGGCCCUACAAAGCUAACCAGGUUGUUGUGGUUUGAAAAUUUAUGGUGUCAUCACUGGGGAAGGACAGUGACUGGCACAUUGACGGGCAUCUUGCUCUUCCUUGACCUGGAUUCAGCAGGAGAGAGUGUGUAAAGGGGAAGAAAAAGCUGCUUCACAUGAUUACUCUCAGCCCAUCAGCACUCCCUACAGCGCUGCUGCUGAGGUCAGUGCUUUGAAGACUGAGAUCCCAGAGGAACCCCAAUGCACCCUUGCUUGUGAUCCAAUCUUACCUGGGAGCCCCUGUCAGAGCUGGGCUGUAUGGACAUGAAGUACCAUGGACGUCCUCUCCCAAGGAGCGUAAAGGACUUACCUGCACUUUUCAUCCUUAAAACCAAGCAGAAACAUCAGGUGCAUGCUGCUCUGGGAUCCAGUGACUGAACAUCACUCAGCUGGUCCAGUUUUUAUCCCCAUUAGCUCUUCCUUCUCUUCCGGAGCAGUAGGAAAACACAGCAAGCACCAUUUCCCCCUCAUCCCUGCAACUUCUGGCACAUGGGGCAGGACCUUGGCAAGGAGCUCCAGACCAGAGCUCGGAAUUGCCCACCUGAAUUUGGGCAGCCAGCUUACCUAAAUCAGAAAGUCUAAGAGACCUGAUACUGAGAGAUUUUGGCUUCAAAAAAGCAAUUACAUAAUGGUCUCAAGGCAGCAUGAACUCUCGAAUUGCCCUUCCUGAAAGUUUCAAUAAUUUCUUGCUUUA